UUUCCGUAGGUGAACCUGCGGAAGGAUCAUUACAGAGUUCAUGCCCUCACGGGUAGAUCUCCCACCCUUGAAUAUUUAUACCUUAGUUGCUUUGGCAGGCCGUGGAAACACCAUGGGCUCCGGCUUAUGCGUGCCUGCCAGAGGAAACAAACUAUGUUUUUAGUGAUGUCUGAGUACUAUAUAAUAGUUAAAACUUUCAACAACGGAUCUCUUGGUUCUG
rnacentral:misc_RNA from 1 species